rnacentral:rRNA from 1 species
AUGACUCUUGGCAGUGGAUCACUCGGCUCGUGCAUCGAUGAAGAACGCAGCCAGCUGCGAGAAGUAAUGUGAAUUGCAGGACACAUUGAUCAUCGAUACUUUGAAUGCACAUUGCGGCCCCGGGAGUUCCUUCCCGGGGCCACGCCUGUCUGAGGGUCGCCCGUUUAUCAAUCGUCCUCCUGCCCAAAGGUGGGUGGUGUGCUACUGGGGUGUCGCAGCGUAUCUUGUGCGCUUCGUUCCCCGAAGGGGAGAGACAGCGCACUGAUGCACAGCGGCGGGUGGUUGCCGCACCUACCACGCUUGACGGUGGGCAGCAGGAGAGACGCGAACGAAGCCGGUGGGUGCGUCUGUUGCCCCUUGCGCGUGCUAGAGAUGUUGUUUGUGCGUCUGCGCCGAGCCCCGUGGUGCUCGCGUGUGGGAUCCGCCUGCGCCUUGGAGCGGGUGACGCACCGCCGGCCCGCCUCGCCUGCUGCGUCGGGGAGGUGGAGCGAAAGCGUACCUGUUGGGACCCGAAAGAUGGUGAACUAUGCCUGGGCAGGGCGAGGCCAGAGGAAACUCUGUGGUUCUGACGUGCAAAUCGAUUGUCCGACCUGGGAAUAGGGGCGAAAGACUAAUCGAACCAUCUAGUAGCUGGUUCCCUCCGAAGUUUAUCUCAGGAUAGCUGGCGCUCGGCAGGAGCAGUUUUAUCCGGUAAAGCGAAUGAUUAGAGGUCUUGGGGCCGAAACGAUCUCAACCUAUUCUUAAACUUUAAAUGGGUAAGACGCCCGUCUUGCUGGCUUGGAGCCGGGCAUGGAAUGCGAGUGCCCAGUGGGCCACUUUUGGUAAGCAGAACUGGCGCUACGGGAUGAACCGAGCGCUGGGUUAAGGCGCCCCACGACGAUGCUCAUCAGACCCCAGAAAAGGUGUUGGUCGAUAUAGACAGCAGGGCGGUGGCCAUGGAAGUCGGAAUCCACUCAGGAGUGUGUAACAACUCACCUGCCGAAUCAACUAGCCCUGAAAAUGGAUGGCGCUGGAGCGUCGGGCCCAUACCCGGCCGUCGCUGGCUGUGAGAGCGCAGGGAGUGCUAUGCCGCGACGAGUAGGAGGGCCACUGCGGUGAGCGCGGAAGCCUCGGGCGAGGGCCCGGGUAGAGCCGCUGCAGGUGCAGAUCUUGGUGGUAGUAGCAAAUAUUAAAAUGAGAACUUUGAAGGCCGAAGUGGAGAAGGGUUCUAUAUGAACAGCACUUGGACAUGGGUCAGUCGGUCCUAAGGGAUGGGCGAACGCCGUUCCGAAGGGACGGGCGAUGGCCUCCGUUGCCCUCAGCCGAUCGAAAGGGGAUCGGGUCCAGAUCCCCGAACCCUCAGAGUGGAGACGGACGCGACCCCUCGCGGGGGGCGCCCGGUGCGGUAACGCAAACGAGCCCGGAGAUGCCGGCGGGGACCCUGGGGAGAGUUCUUUUUCCUUGGUGAAGGGCAGGGUGCCCUGGAAUGGGUUCGCCCCGAGAUAGGGGCCUGUGCCCUGCAGAGCGCCGCGGCUCCUGCGGCGUCCGGUGAGCCCUCGUUGGCCCUUGAAAAUCCGGGGGAGAGAGCUCUGAAUCUCGCUUUGGGCCGUACCCAUAUCCGCAGCAGGUCUCCAAGGUGAACAGCCUCUGGCAUGUUGGAGCAAUGUAGGUAAGGGAAGUUGGCAAGCCGGAUCCGUAACUUCGGGACAAGGAUUGGCUCUAAGGGCUGGGUCGGUUGGGCUGGGGCGCGAAGCGGGGUCUGGGUGCAUGCCACGGCUGGGCGAGGCUCCCGCCGUCGUCUCGGGCGGCUGGGGGACGACUUUGGACGUGUGCCGGGCCCUUCCUGCGGAGCGCCUCAGCUGCGGCGGUUCGUUGGGCUGCGGCCGUGCGGCCCCGGUGGCCCUCCCCGGGGUGCCAGGACCCUGCGCGGUAUUGGGCUGACGCAUCGCCUCGGCCGGCGUCUAGCAGCCGGCUUAGAACUGGUGCGGACCAGGGGAAUCUGACUGUUUAAUUUAAACAAAGCAUCGUGAUGGCUCGCGAAUGGGUGUUGACACGAUGUGAUUUCUGCCCAGUACUCUGAAUGUCAAAGUGAAGAAAUUCAAUGAAGCGCGGGUAAACGGCGGGAGUAAGUAUGACUCUCUUAACAACCCCGUGUGCUAUAAACGUUAGUCGCGAAUUAUAAAGAAAACAAACCGGACGGGCUACUCGGUGAUGAACUAACAUCGCUCAUGAAUGAGCGAUUAAUAGGCGAGCUGACUACGGAAUUUAUCCUUUCAGACAUGUUUUUAUGGGACUACCCAUGCACAGAUCAGAACAAAUGUUAUCCGUGCAAUCUAAUUUUCCUAGACCACAGAACUUGAUCAUCACAUAUGUCACGGGUAAAUCCACAUGUCGAAUUUGUAAUCGCACAGCAGAUAGCAUACACAAGAUAGCGUCACACUACGGAAGAACUUUCAAAAGUUUAAUAGGUACAACUAAUACUAUAACCAGCACAAUUGAUGAAACACUAUUUAGUUGUUUACAUUGCAACAGAGGUUUUACCACGAAAACAGGUUUAGGGGUACAUACCAGACGAACUCAUCCGACAGAACAUGAGGCUAUACUACAGCAAAACCCACCAGGAAGGAAAGUUAGAUGGGGAAAAGAAGAGGUUGAAAUUAUGGCCCAUAAGGAAGCCCAGCAGAAGGAUGAGGACAUAAACAUGAAUCAACUAAUACAAAACUCAGUUAUGCCACACAGAACACUAGAAGCGAUUAAAGGGAAGCGGAGAAAUAUCGAGUAUAGGCAAUUGGUAAGGACAUU